AUUGAACGCUCGCGGGAUGCUUUACACAUGCAAGUCGAACGGCAGCGCGGACUUCGGUCUGGCGGCGAGUGGCGAACGGGUGAGUAAUGUAUCGGAACGUGCCCAGUAGCGGGGGAUAACUACGCGAAAGCGUAGCUAAUACCGCAUACGCCCUACGGGGGAAAGCAGGGGAUCGUAAGACCUUGCACUAUUUGAGCGGCCGAUAUCGGAUUAGCUAGUUGGUGAGGUAACGGCUCACCAAGGCGACGAUCCGUAGCUGGUUUGAGAGGCCGACCAGCCACACUGGGACUGAGACACGGCCCAGACUCCUACGGGAGGCAGCAGUGGGGAAUUUUGGACAAUGGGGGCAACCCUGAUCCAGCCAUCCCGCGUGUGCGAUGAAGGCCUUCGGGUUGUAAAGCACUUUUGGCAGGAAAGAAACGUCGCGGGCUAAUACCCCGUGGAACUGACGGUACCUGCAGAAUAAGCACCGGCUAACUACGUG
rnacentral:rRNA from 1 species